ensembl:miRNA MIR12229 microRNA mir-12229
GAGCCGGGCCCCGCGGGGCUCCGUCAGUAGCUUUUUUUCUUCGUCGCCCGGAGCCCCGCAGGCCCGGCCCGGC